AUCCAUGAUGCAUUGUGGGUAAAUGGUGAUUGACUGAUCUACAAAUAGUCAGUCGGCUGCAAUGUCGAACAAGCCCAAUUUUGGUCCAAUAAUGCAACACAAUAAAAAGCGGCUUGACAAAAGGGAUCCGCUCAAACGCACCCAUUAACAUUCUUGAAUUUGUCUUGAGUCUGAGGUCACUGGUAUCCUUCUAUCACAAUAAAACUACAAUUCCAUACAUGCCAGGCUGUAGACGUCAUAACCAAUUGCAAGAACCAACUUCCUGGUGGUAGAGUGCAGGAUCAGCGUGGGAUAAAAAUAAAAAUCUCCGUUAAGUGAGUAUGUUAACUUAAUUAUACCACUGUUAUAUAGCCUUGAUUUAAAUAGUUGUCGCUGUGUCUACUGCGAAACUAGAUCAAAGUUGCUAGGGCGAUGAGGCGGUUUUAUAAUGCAAAUAAGCUAGCUAAAUACCUAACGCUAGCCUAAUUGAUUACAGACGCUAACUGACUUUAUGUAGCUAACGGUUAGUGGCUAAGUUAAUGUUAGUUGUAAAGAGGCAAUCUGUCUUUUGCUUUUCCAGUACUAAAGUAAUGUCUAUUCAGUGCGUUGUGCAUAGGCUAUUUCAUGCUCAUGGAAUAGCUCUUUUGGGCGUGGAACUAUCUAUGGUUGAGACUUUAAAAUUACAGAGACAAUUUGACUGUUUUUCACUUGUAUACCAGUACACGGUUUGGGAUUGGAGUUGCUGUUGGCGAUCAGGAUGAUUGACGUGCGGGCGUGGGCGGAGUACCUGGUGGAAUGGGCGGCCAAGGACCCGUACGGCUUUCUGACCACUGUCAUCCUGGCGCUGACACCCCUCUUCAUCGCCAGUGCCCUGUUGUCGUGGAAACUGGCCAAGAUGAUUGAGGUGCGCGACCGCGAACAGAAGAAGAAGCAGAAACGUCAGGAGAAUAUUGCCAAGGCCAAGAGGACCAAGAAAGACUGAGCUGUGGAGGGAGAAAGAAUAGCUACAGUACACGGCUAUGCUCAACACUCUUCACUUGCAACACUGCUCCCCCUCGCCUCCUCAACCCAGUCCGGUGCAGGACCACAGACCAUCACUCCUGUCCAGUGUAGGAAGGAUUGUAGGCCCGACAUGGUGGCUGUACAGAGCUGAGAGGGAACUGUAUAGACAGAGGAGGCUCAUUUGAUUGGGCUAUCAGCAUGUAAACUGGGAUUGUCUGAUUAUGGUGGUGUUGCAGUACUUAGCAUUCCAUUUGGAACAACUCCACUCCAAUGAUUUCAUUAACUACUUUGUUUUUCUCCAUUUUAAAUGACUUAUUACAUUUCUGAAUCACUUGCUUGUUUUUAUUAAAUGAAGUUCUAAAUAAAAUACGCUUGUAUUUCUUGCAAAACAUAAUUCCCCAUAACCCUGCCUGUAUGACACUUCAUUGAAAACGGUUGAGUUCCAACCCGACUUGAUGCGCAGGCAUUGCACUGCAUCAACCAAUGGUUGUAUGUCGUCAACUGUUCAGUCGGGUGUAGACUGCUAUAUCAUAGCUGCUAAUUAAACACCUAUCCAAUCAUUUUGAGAACUGGCAGGAGUCUGGUAUGGACUCGGGCAGGAACUCGACCAAGAUGUGCUCCAGGUUGUUUUCAUGCAUGGGCUUCAUUUAGUUAAAAAUAAUAUUUGGUUAAAAGGUUUGUGCUGUCUGAUGGGGUGUAUAUCAUACCACAUAUGUAAAGCCAUGAAAAAAAACCUUGUCACACUGAAAAUAUUUAAUAUAUGUAUGCCAUUUUGGCAAACACUAGAUCCAAAUCAACUUACAAUAGUGUGUGCAUGCCUUUUUGUAUGGGUGGCCCCAGCGGGAAUCAAACCCACCAUUAUGACAUUGCGAUCACCAUGAUCUACCAACUGAGAAACACCGUACCACCUACUUGCCAGCACUUACAUCACAUCCCAGUUUGCUCAAGCCUGGUAGUUUAAUUUACAAUCCACAAAAAAUCUAAUAUACCUUGAUUACAACACAACUCGUAUACAAAGCCUUUACAGUUUAGUUGGAGAGAUCAGAAAAUGUGUCUUCCACACCCCAUGAAUGCCACACACUAUAUCAAGUAUUCCCUGAUUCAAUGCAAUAAAAGGUUUUUCCAUGUAGG
rnacentral:lncRNA from 1 species